GGACGAAUAUUCCGCAAUGGGCGAAAGCCUGACGGAGCAAUGCCGCGUGUGGGAUGAAGCAUCUCGGUGUGUAAACCACUGUCAGGGGUCACCAACUCAAUGAGGAGCCCCAAAGGAAGGGCCGGCUAACUCUGUGCCAGCAGCCGCGGUAAUACAGAGGGCCCGAGCGUUAAUCGGAAUCACUGGGCUUAAAGGGUGCGUAGGCGGAUGUGCAAGUGCUUUGUGAAAUCCCAGGGCUUAACUCUGGAAU
rnacentral:rRNA from 1 species